CGGCGGACGGGUGAGUAACGCGUGGGUAACUGCCUCAUACAGGGGGAUAACAGUUGGAAACGGCUGCUAAUACCGCAUAAGCGCACAGUACCGCAUGGUACGGUGUGAAAAACUCCGGUGGUAUGAGAUGGACCCGCGUCUGAUUAGGUAGUUGGUGGGGUAACGGCCUACCAAGCCGACGAUCAGUAGCCGACCUGAGAGGGUGACCGGCCACAUUGGGACUGAGACACGGCCCAA
rnacentral:rRNA from 1 species